rnacentral:lncRNA from 1 species
CAACUCAGAAUCUGAAUCAAAAUAGAACUCAAGAGUUCUCUUGAGAAAAGUUUCUUUACUUUCAAAAAUUUCUUGUUUCCAAAUUUAAGUUUUCAAAAUUUCAAAAUUUUACUUCCAUCCACUUCCAUUCAAUCCUUAGAUCCUUAGGACUCGUUUGGUAUCAAAGCCAAGAAGGAAUAGGUAAAUCUAAGUUUUGAAAAUCUUCAAAUUUGUUUUCAAUAUUUCUGAGUUUUGGUUUAACUAUCUUUAUUAAUUUCCUAUGAUUUUUUUUAGUAUUGAUACACAGUUUUGUAAUAGUCUGUUUUUCAGUAGUGUCGAAAAUGGUGAUUUUGGGACCACGAAUUUGACAAGUGAGCUUGUAAAUAUUAUUAAUUUAAUAUUUAUGAGUCAAUUAUAAUAUUAUUGAAAUUUUGAUUUAAUAAAUUUCGUUAAUUGAUCGUGUAGUUAAGUGGUUCAUUCCUUAAUUCAAGUGGUUUUGGAAAAUGAAGUAUUGAGACCUCCUUUCUAUAAACCGAACCCGUAAAUAUUUUUAUUAAAUAUUUACAGAGUUAUUAUAUAGGUAUGUGAAUAUUCGGUUAGGAAAUUUUUAUUUUUAAUUAGUUAAUUAAUUAAAAAAGGACUAAAUCGUAAAAGUCAAAAAAUCUAAUCACUAUUGAAUUUUAAUGGUUAAAUAGCUUAACUAGUGGAUGUGUGAGGACUUAUGAAAUAAUUAUACUAUGUUUUCAUAUUAGUGGACGGUUAAGACAUUUAUUUAUGGAUUAUAUAUGUUAUAUUAUAAGUUAAAUAAUAAUAAAGUAAAUAAAAUAAGUAAAGUUAAAAAAAGAAAAGAAAAAGAAAACAUAAAGAAUUAGUGUCAUAUUCUUCUUCUUUUAAUUUGAACAUCGAACCAUCAUGGGAGAACUUGGGAAGCUUCGGCUUUGAUAUUUCCAUUGCAUGUAAGUGAGUUUUUCACUCGUUUUUCGUAAAUUUUAUAUUUUUGAGACCGUUGCAGCUAGGUACAGCUAACAUGUAUCUCUAUUUUUAAAAUUGUUAAAGAUUUUGGAUUUUACCAGUAAUUAAUUUUAGUUGUGUUGAGAAUUUAAUUGAUGUAUUCUUGAGUUUUACAGCUAGAUAUAAGUAUUUUGUUAAGUGAUUUUUAGUAAUUUUAAUGUUUAGGGAUUAAAUUUUUUAAAUAGUAAAAUUCAAUGAAAAUAGUGUGAAAUGAUAAGAAAUAUGGGCUGUAAUGGACCCCUAGGAAAAUUGGCUAGCAUAGUUUUUCAUUAAGUGUGGUUAAUUUGUGUGUUUUGGGUUUAGGGACUAAAUUGCAUAAAAGGUAAAAAUUUAGGGUAAAAGUGUGAAAUGAUGAUUAAGGGUAAAAUUUAUGAAUUUGAGUAUUUUAUGAUAUUUGAAUUGGUUAAUUGAAUAAAUUUAUUAUAUUUAGAUCAAGAAAUGAGCUAACCUGGCAUUAAUUGUGGGAAAGGAAAGUUAAAGGAGAAAUCGUCGGUGUUGUGUUUGUAACUAUUUUCAAUUAGGUAAGUUUGUAAAUUGAUUAAAUUAAUUAUUUGUUAUUUUUUUGACUUAAUAAAUAUAUUUAUGUUGUUACUCAAUUUAACUACUUGAGAUUGAUAUGUGAUGAGUUGGACUAAGUUAUGAUGAUAUUUAAGUUGAGUACUGUGUUUGGAAAAUGUGAAAUACACGGAUGUGAGUUUGAAAUGGUAUAAUGGAAACGAAGUUAAAUGACUAGGAUAUAAAAUGUGUCACAUUUGAACCUUGUGAGUACUUAGGAUACAAAUGACAUGUCAUUAGGAGGUUAUUUCCAGUUUCGGGUGCUGGUCUUGGAUGUCCUACCGAUGGCUGAGGUAUUGUACUUGUUGUGGAUUCUCCACAAUUCGUGUGAGCAGCAUCGUGUAGCUUAAUAUCAUGACCCAUAGCUUGUGUGAGCAGACCCAUUUCACAGAUCAUAUGAGCAUACAGUAUUACAUGUUACAGUCACAGCUUGCGUGAGCAUCCCGAGUAUCCGAUGUUAUUUCAUUUGGUUCAACAGGUAGUAAAAUUUUAAAUGAAUAUGUACAUAUAUAAAAUGUUAUAUGGUCAAGACAUGUGAAUUGGAAGAUGCUGAUAUAAAUACUUGGAAUGGGAAGCUAUGUUUAUCGAACACAUGAUGGAUGUAAUAUGUACUGGUUAUGUUAUUAUUACAUGUUCCAUUAUUGUUGGAAUUAUAUGCUUCUUUGUGAUACCUAUUAACCUUGUAAGGUUGUGUUGUAUAGAAAAGAAAUGUAAGUAUAAGAUUUAAUGAAUGAAUAUGUGUUAUAUGCUAAAUAAAUAUGUGAUGGUUGGUUAUGUACCAAAUAAGUUUUUUGGUAUAUGUUUGAUGGCAUGAUAAAGUUACAUGUUUUAUAUAUGAACUCACUAAUCUUGUGAGACUUGUGAUGUGUCUAGGAAAUUAACAAACUCAUGACCAGGACAUAGAGUUAUCUUGUAAAAUGUUUUAUUACAUCGCUUUUGGUAAGUCAAAGUUUAAGUUUAUUACGAACUUACAAAGCUUUACGCAAGCUUACCUCGUUUUGGUUUUUCUUCUUUGUAGAUUGUUGGAGUUGAGCUAUCAAUUGGAUUACUUUUGGAGAUCAUGCUAUUUGUUCAAUGAUUCAGUAUAAGAUGUGAUUAUUUUUUAUUUAGUUUAUAAGUGGCAUGUUCUAGGAGUAUAUAAGUUUUUUUGCUAUAAUGAUGUAACCUUAGUUUAAGUAUAUAUGUAUAUAUAUAUUUGAUUUAGCUUGUAUAUGUCCAUAUUUGUAUAUCUUUAGUUGUUGUGUAUAUGCUUCUUGGAUGUGUUUGAAAUAUGGUAAGAUUGAAUAUGAAUGGAAUGGUUGAAUUGGUACAAAUGUUUAGGUAACUUAAUAAAUCUUGGUUGAUAAUUUUGGUCAUAAUAAAUGAGGCAAAUUUGAUAGUUGAAGAAGUAUGAAAUGCUAAGUAGUUGCACUUGAAUGGAUUAUGUUUCAAUGUUUGAAUUGUGGUGCCAAGUGAUGGCAUAUUGCUUAGGCAUAUAAGAUGAAUGAUUUUGGCAUGUUUUAGGUAUGUUUGAAUGUGUUUUAACCAUGUGAAAGUGAUUGAAAAGGGUUUGGUUUGGUGACCAAGAAAUGGAUAUUGAAUUGCUUAUAUUAGAGGUCAUUUUGGGUGCACAUGACCUUGGACACAGGCUGCCACACGGCUGUGUGCCACACAUGACCACCUUAUAUGGCCAUGUGUCUUAUUAAUUUUAGGUGCAGGAUUUUUCACACGGUUACAGUCAAUUACACGAUCUGAGCACACGGGCGUGUGGAGUAGCCACACGGGUUGGCCUUUGUCACACAACCGUGUGACCCCUGUUUUUAGUUUUUUUCUAUAUUUUUCUAUUUUGUUUAGAUUAGUCCUUGUUUGUUUCCGAAUGUUUCUAAAGUCCCAUAAGCUCGAUUAAUG